rnacentral:rRNA from 1 species
UACGUAGGUGGCAAGCGUUGUCCGGAUUUACUGGGCGUAAAGGGCGCGUAGGCGGUUUCGUAAGUCCCGUGUGAAAGCCCCCGGCUCAACUGGGGAACUGCACGGGAAACUGCGAGGCUUGAGUUCGGGAGAGGGAAGCGGAAUUCCGGGUGUAGCGGUGAAAUGCGUAGAUAUCCGGAGGAACACCGGUGGCGAAGGCGGUUCUCUGGGCCUUACCUGACGCUGAGGAGCGAAAGCAUGGGGAGCAAACAGG